CUGUGGACAGCUUAAGUGUUAACAGCUCAGUGGAGGGUCAGUGUGACAGGCUUUUGUACCCGCACUUGUGGUACCCAAGUUCUUGUCCAGUGUCCAGGAGGAAUGAGGUAGCACAAAUGAAUUGAAGAUGGUAAAUGCAUGGAAAUUUAUUGCCAAUGAAAGUGACUCUCAGUGGGAAGAGGAGCUGAAAGGAGGAUGGAGCAAGAAGGUAAUCUUCCCCUGAAGUCCAGCCGUCCCUGGCUGGACUCCUCUUCAAAGCUACACCAUGAAGCUGUCCCUCUGAAGUCAAGCCACUUAUUUCUGCCGUCCAACCGUAGUCUCCAAUAUCCAGCUGCUUCUCCACUCUCUGCUGGAGUGCAGUGGGGUAAUCACAGCUCACUACGCCUCCAGAUCCCAGGCUCAAGCAAUCUUCUCACCUCAGCCUCCCAAGUAGCUCAGACUACAUGCACAAGCUACCAUGCCUGGCUAAUUUAAUUUAAUUUAAUUUAAUUUAUUUAUUUAUUUAUUUUGAGACGGAGUCUUGCUCUGUCACCCAGGCUGUAGUGCAGUGGCACAAUCUCGGCUCACUGAAAGCUCUGCCUCCUGGGUUCACGCCAUUCUCCUACCUCAGCCUCCCAAGUAGCUGGGACUAUAGGCACCCGCCACCUACGCCCGGAUAAUUUUUUGUAUUUUUAGUGAGACGGGGUUCCACUGUGUUAGCCAGGAUGGUCUUGAUCUCCUGACCUUGUGAUCUGCCCUCCUCGGCCUCCCAAAGUGCUGGAAUUACAGGCGUGAGCCACUGCGCCCUGCUGCCUGGCUAAUUUUUAAAAAAAUUUUUGUAGACACAGGGUCUCACUCUGUUGCUCAUGCUGGGCUCAAGUGCUCCUCCUGUCUUGGCCUCCAAAGUGCUGGGAUUACAGGUGUGAGCCACCGCACUGGACUUAGUACACUUGUUUUGUUUUUGUUUGUUGAGAGGGAGUUUUUGCUCUUGUUGCCCAGGCUGGAAUGCAGUGUCAUGAUCAGGGCUCACUGCAACCUCUGCCUCCUGGGUUCAAGCAAUUCUCCUGCCUCAGCCUCCCAAGUAGCUGGAAUUACAGGUGCCCGCCACCACGCCCGUAUAAUUUUUUGUAUUUUUAGUAGAGACAGGGUUUCACCAUGUUGGCCAGGCUGGUCUUGAACUCCUGACCUCAGGUGAUCCACCCACCUUGGCCUCCCAAAGUGCUGGGAUUACAGGUGUGAGCCACUGUGCCCAGGCUGAGCCACCAUGCCCAGCCCUGUUUUGUUUUUUGAGACAGGGUCUGGCUCUGUCACCCAGGCUGGAGUGCAAUGGCGCAAUCUCAGCUCACUGUAACCUCCGCCUCCUGUGCUCAAACCAUCCUCUCACCUCAGCCUCCUGAGUAGCUGGGACUACAGGCGCACACCACCACACCCAGCUAAUUUUUGUAUUUUUGGUAGAGACAGGGUUUUGCCAUGUUGCCCAGGCUAGUCUAGAAUUCCUGGGCUCAAACAAUCUGCUGCCUCUGAUUCCCAAAUUUCUAAGAUUACAGGCAUGAGCCGCUGUGCCCAGCCAGUACAUGUUUUUUGUUUAUUUGUUUGUUUUUCUAAAGAUAGGAUCUUGCUAUGUUACGCGGGCUGUUCUUGAACUCCUGGGCUCAAGCAAUCCUUCCACCUUGGCCUUCCAAAGUGCUGGGAUUACAGAUGUGAGCCACCAAGCCUGGCUGAGCCACCACGCCGGCGCUAGCUGAUAUACUUGUAUUAAUGUACAAAUUGGACUCUAGCAUUCCUCACACUGAAGUAUUUAUGGGUAAAAUUACACAUUUGGGAUUUGCUUUAAAAGACUCCAGCAAAACAAAACAGGUGUAGAUGAAGAUUGGCAAAAUGUUAUGCUUGAAGUUAAUGGGUACGUAGGGGCUCAUUAUACUAUUACCACUAAUUUUGUGUGUUUGCUAUUUUCCCUAAUGUUUUACAAUGUAAUUGUCAGGUUAUCCAUUGUUUUGGAAAAAUUUAUUGGGCGGCUUAACUUGAUUUGGGAAAUACUGUCCACGGCAAGUCAUUUAGACUUGGUAAGACACGUGAGGGAGAAAUGGAUCUGAAUUCCAGUUCUGAAACCGAGGUGACAGUUUCAUUAAAGGAUAGCAAGGGGACAGUGAUCAUCCCUGCAGAGUCAAAACAGAGAAUAAUGGGACCAGGCACCACUAUGACAGGUCAAAAACCCUAUCUGGGCAGAGCGUGAUGGCUCACACCUGUAAUUCCAGCACUUUGGGAGGCCAAGGUGGGCGGAUCAUUUGAGGCCAGCUUUGCCAUCACGGUGAAACCCUGUCUCUACUGAAUAUACAAAAAUUAGCCAGGCGUGGUAACACACGCCUGUAAUCCCAGCUCCUUGGGAGGCUGAAGCAGGAGAAUUGCUUGAACCCAGGAGGCAGAGGUUGCAGUGAGCCGAGACUGUGCCACUGCACUCCAGCCUGGGUGACACAGCAAAACUGUCUCAGAAGCAAACACACACACACAUACACACACACACAAACACAAAAGUUAAUUAUGGCCCAUAUCACCUUCUCCCUCGGAUUCCACUGUUCUAGUUCCAAGGAAUUGCUAACACUGGGCAAGUUCAGCCUAGUCCUUCCGUGAGGACUGAAUACGUCGGACUCAUCUCCAUCAGACUACCACAAACUGUUGUUGAAAGCUUUAUUUGUCC
rnacentral:lncRNA from 1 species